rnacentral:rRNA from 1 species
AUAAGUCUGUUGUUAAAGACUAGGGCUCAACCCUAGAAAAGCAAUGGAAACUACUAGACUAGAGUAUGGCAGGGGUAGAGGGAAUUUCUAGUGUAGCGGUGAAAUGCGUAGAUAUUAGAAAGAACACCGGUGGCGAAAGCGCUCUACUGGACCAUUACUGACACUCAGAGGCGAAAGCUAGGGUAGCAAAAGGGAUUAGAUACCCCUGUAGUCCUAGCCGUAAACGAUGGAUACUAGAUGUUGUGCAUAAUGUACAGUAUCAUAGCUAACGCGUUAAGUAUCCCGCCUGGGGAGUACGCUCGCAAGGGUGAAACUCAAAGGAAUUGACGGGGGCCCGCACAAGCGGUGGAGCAUGUGGUUUAAUUCGAUGCAACGCGAAGAACCUUACCAGGACUUGACAUACUACAAAUUCUUUUGAGAAAAAGAAGUGCCUUCGGGAAUGUAGAUACAGGUGGUGCAUGGCUGUCGUCAGCUCGUGUCGUGAGAUGUUGGGUUAAGUCCCGCAACGAGCGCAACCCUUAUUUUUAGUUAC